rnacentral:rRNA from 1 species
GAUGAACGCUGGCGGCGUGCCUAAUACAUGCAAGUCGAGCGAACAGACGAGGAGCUUGCUCCUCUGAUGUUAGCGGCGGACGGGUGAGUAACACGUGGAUAACCUACCUAUAAGACUGGGAUAACUUCGGGAAACCGGAGCUAAUACCGGAUAAUAUAUUGAACCGCAUGGUUCAAUAGUGAAAGACGGUCUUGCUGUCACUUAUAGAUGGAUCCGCGCCGCAUUAGCUAGUUGGUAAGGUAACGGCUUACCAAGGCAACGAUGCGUAGCCGACCUGAGAGGGUGAUCGGCCACACUGGAACUGAGACACGGUCCAGACUCCUACGGGAGGCAGCAGUAGGGAAUCUUCCGCAAUGGGCGAAAGCCUGACGGAGCAACGCCGCGUGAGUGAUGAAGGUCUUCGGAUCGUAAAACUCUGUUAUUAGGGAAGAACAAAUGUGUAAGUAACUAUGCACAUCUUGACGGUACCUAAUCAGAAAGCCACGGCUAACUACGUG